UGGGAAGGGUUUCGGCCGUCCAGAUCAGUUAAAGGACCACUCUCUGCAACACGCAGGGAAACCCCACUGCUGUUCUGUGUGUGGGAAGUGUUUCAGCCGUCCAGAUCAGUUAAAGGACCACUCUCUGCAACAUGCAGGGAAACCCCACUACUGUUCUGUGUGUGGGAAGUGUUUCAGUGAGAAGGGGUAUCUUGAAGACCACCAGUCAGUGCACACUGGAGAGAAACGACACCCUUGCCCUGUCUGCAAKAAGAGUUUUKUAAGAUUAGCAGGCCUUAAAGUCCACCACAGAUAUCAUACAGGAGAGAAACCUUACAACUGYGCUAAAUGCGGCCAGAGCUUCAUUAGUUCUCAAAAACUUCAGAGACACCAGAAAACACAUGUUGGUUUACCACCUGUUGAGUUUCAAAACCCUGUUCCAAUUGACGGAGAGAGGGAGGGAGAAUAUGAGGAAGAGGAAGUUGGUGGUCUGAUUAAUUCAGAUGGAGAAGAGGUUGGUUGGGAUCUUCAUCGUCUCGAUGAGAGUUCGGAGGGGAGAGCCUCUACAUCAGGAGAACCUAAAGAAACCUAGGGGAAUCUCAAAGCUCAGAGAUACAGUUGCUCUGUGUGUGGGAAAGACUGGCAACAGUUAUUUGAUCUGAAAAGACACAUGACAACGCACACAGGAGAGAAAUCGUACAGCUGUUCUGUGUGUGGGAAGAGUUUUAGACGAGCAGACCUCAUGAAACAACACCUCUGGAUGCAUAAAGGAGACGCAUGGGGAGAAACCUUACCCCUGUUCUGUCUGUGGGAAGGCUUUAGCAAGAUCAGACCUUUAAAAUGCACAAUACAGUUCAUACAGAAGAGAAACCUUACAGCUGUGUUGAAUGUGGCCAGAGCUUUUUGCCAUAGUUUGUACAUCUGCAUUGUUAUAUUGCUUAUAUAGGUCUAUCUCAUUAGUAGCUUAUUAAUAAUUUUAGGUAAUAUAAGAAUGAUGCAUUUAAUUGUUUUUCCUUUGUGUAUUAUAAUUAUCUCUGGUGAUUUUCUCCAUGAGGGGGGUGAGAUAGAGACCCAACAACAUAUUAUAUUAUAGUAUCCCUUCCUCGUAACCAUGUUUGCCAGUGACAGUCUCUUCCCGUUCAAAUAUUUUUGUUCGUCAAAAAGUUCAGUAAUAUACCCAUGUAAUUCCAGCUCAUAUUGCGGGGGUUGUUUUCCCUUUUUCGGUGCGUCUGUCCGUCUAUAAAAGUGAAUCCUUGUGAUUGUUUUGUCCUUCCUUUUUAGACCGCAUAGGCCUAAUAAAAUACUUCAAAUAGCAGGCUAA